CGGGUUUCGUGCGACGUCAUGCCGUGAAUCUUGUCAGGGACGGAAGGCAGCAGCAAUAAACGGAUUUUGGCGUGCGCCGCGAAGUAGCCU
rnacentral:SRP_RNA from 1 species